rnacentral:ncRNA from 1 species
GUGUUGUAUGAAAGGAGAGAAGGUUAGCACUCCCCUUGACAAGGAUGGAAGAGGCCUUCGGGCCUAACAACACGCAUACGGUUAAGGCAUUGCCACUUACUUCGUGGCAUCGAACCACUGUUUUUA